GAGCUUCUCCUUCGGGAGCAGAGUGACAGGUGGUGCAUGGUUGUCGUCAGCUCGUGUCGUGAGAUGUUGGGUUAAGUCCCGCAACGAGCGCAACCCUUGAUCUUAGUUGCCAUCAUUAAGUUGGGCACUCUAAGGUGACUGCCGGUGACAAACCGGAGGAAGGUGGGGAUGACGUCAAAUCAUCAUGCCCCUUAUGACCUGGGCUACACACGUGCUACAAUGGACGGUACAAAGAGCUGCAAGACCGCGAGGUGGAGCUAAUCUCAUAAAACCGUUCUCAGUUCGGAUUGUAGGCUGCAACUCGCCUACAUGAAGCUGGAAUCGCUAGUAAUCGCGGAUCAGCAUGCCGCGGUGAAUACGUUCCCGGGCCUUGUACACACCG
rnacentral:rRNA from 1 species